rnacentral:lncRNA from 1 species
GAAAGAUGAGGGCUGGUGGUGAUAAUUCUGAUGAGAAUAAGUUGGAUUUGAAUUAUCUCCUCCUGUGUUCUGGGAAUGGAAAUUGUUGGAUGGAUAGUCGUCGGAGGAGUACGUGGGCGGCGGCGGCGGGGCGGUGGAAGAUGGUGCAGGGAAAUUUGAGGGUGGUUGGAUGGUUGAAGAUGGCGGAGGAAAGUUUGAGGGCGGUGGUGGUGGUGGUUGAGUGUUUGAAGGUGGUGGCGGCAUGGUUGCAUGUGGCGGUGGUGGAGGCUCAUGUGGCGGUGAUGCAAAAGUAUUUGUGAACUUUUGGGAAUCACUUCUGUCGUAUAAUUGGGAUGAAGGAUGAGAUUCUGUUGCAUGUCUG